rnacentral:lncRNA from 1 species
UCGAUACAUUCAUUUUUGAUUCUUAUUUUAAUUGUCUCACUCUUACUUUAACAUCAAGAUAAGAAAAAGAAAAGAGAUAUACCUUCUCAUAUCUAUUGCUCUGAUACUAGAAUCAAAUUUUUUUUUAUAUACACUCUUUAUAUAAGAAAGAAGAAGAUUUAUUUUCAAAUAAUCAAAAUAAUCUAAUUCAUACAAGAAAGAAGAAGAUUUUGAUUGAAUAAGGACAAUCUUUAGAAAUUCUCUAAUUCAUUCAUAAAUUAUUUGAGCUAAAUGAGUUAAUUCAUUAAAGUUUAUAUAUCAUGACCCUCUAUGAUUGAACUCUUGGCAUAGUUCUUCUAGUACUUCAUAAACCCAAAUUGCUUGAGCUUUAAAGAUAUUUUUUAUGAACACUCAAAUAUUUUGUCAUCAUCAAAAAAGG